CCCGUAGUUCAAUGGAUAGAACGGUCGCCUCCUAAGCGACAGAUACAGGUUCGAUUCCUGUCGGG
rnacentral:tRNA from 1 species